rnacentral:rRNA from 1 species
AGAACGAACGCUGGCGGCAUGCCUAACACAUGCAAGUCGAACGAAGCCCCCGUCUUCGGAUGGGAAGCUUAGUGGCGCACGGGUGCGUAACACGUGGGAAUCUGCCCUUAGGUACGGAAUAACUCAGGGAAACUUGUGCUAAUACCGUAUGAUGACUUCGGUCCAAAGAUUUAUCGCCUAGGGAUGAGCCCGCGUCGGAUUAGCUAGUUGGUGGGGUAAAAGCCUACCAAGGCGACGAUCCGUAGCUGGUCUGAGAGGAUGAUCAGCCACACUGGGACUGAGACACGGCCCAGACUCCUACGGGAGCAGCAGUGGGGAAUAUUGGACAAGUGGGCGAAAGCCUGAUCAGCAAUGCCGCGUGAGUGAAGAAGGCCUUCGGGUUAGUAAACGUCUCGUUUACCCGGGAAGAUAAUGACUGUACCGGAGAAAGUACGACCCGGACUAACCGUCCGCGCCAGCAAGGCCGAC